GCUGGGCGGGGUGUGGCGUGCCUGUAGUCCCAGGUACAUGGGAGGCUGAGGUAGGAGGAUUACUUGAGCCCAGGAGUUCUGAGCUGUAGUGCUAUGCCAAUCAGGUGUCCGCACUAAGUUCGGCAUCAAUAUAGUGACUUCCUGGGAGCAGGGGACCACCAGGUUCCAUAAGGAGGGGUGAACCGGCCCAGGUCAGAAACGGAGCAGGUCAAAACUCCCGUGCUGAUCCGUAGUGUGAUGGCACCUGUGAAUAGCCACUGCACUCCAGCCUGGGCAACAUAGUGAGACCCCCAUCUCU
rnacentral:SRP_RNA from 1 species